UAAGCGACUAAGCGUACACGGUGGAUGCCCUGGCAGUCAGAGGCGAUGAAGGACGUGCUAAUCUGCGAUAAGCGUCGGUAAGGUGAUAUGAACCGUUAUAACCGGCGAUUUCCGAAUGGGGAAACCCAGUGUGAUUCGUCACACUAUCAUUAACUGAAUCCAUAGGUUAAUGAGGCGAACCGGGGGAACUGAAACAUCUAAGUACCCCGAGGAAUAGAAAUCAACCGAGAUUCCCCCAGUAGCGGCGAGCGAACGGGGAGCAGCCCAGAGCCUGAAUCAGUGUGUGUGUUAGUGGAAGCGUCUGGAAAGGCGCGCGAUACAGGGUGACAGCCCCGUACACAAAAAUGCACAUGCUGUGAGCUCGAUGAGUAGGGCGGGACACGUGGUAUCCUGUCUGAAUAUGGGGGGACCAUCCUCCAAGGCUAAAUACUCCUGACUGACCGAUAGUGAACCAGUACCGUGAGGGAAAGGCGAAAAGAACCCCGGCGAGGGGAGUGAAAAAGACCUGAAACCGUGUACGUACAAGCAGUGGGAGCACGCUUAGGCGUGUGACUGCGUACCUUUUGUAUAAUGGGUCAGCGACUUAUAUUCUGUAGCAAGGUUAACCGAAUAUGGGAGCCGAAGGGAAACCGAGUCUUAACUGGGCGUUAAAGUUGCAGGGUAUAGACCCGAAACCCGGUGAUCUAGCCAUGGGCAGGUUGAAGGUUGGGUAACACGUAACUGGAGGACCGAACCGACUAAUGUUGAAAAAUUAGCGGAUGACUUGUGGCUGGGGGUGAAAGGCCAAUCAAACCGGGAGAUAGCUGGUUCUCCCCGAAAGCUAUUUAGGUAGCGCCUCGUGAAUUCAUCUCCGGGGGUAGAGCACUGUUUCGGCAAGGGGGUCAUCCCGACUUACCAACCCGAUGCAAACUGCGAAUACCGGAGAAUGUUAUCACGGGAGACACACGGCGGGUGCUAACGUCCGUCGUGAAGAGGGAAACAACCCAGACCGCCAGCUAAGGUCCCAAAGUCAUGGUUAAGUGGGAAACGAUGUGGGAAGGCCCAGACAGCCAGGAUGUUGGCUUAGAAGCAGCCAUCAUUUAAAGAAAGCGUAAUAGCUCACUGGUCGAGUCGGCCUGCGCGGAAGAUGUAACGGGGCUAAACCAUGCACCGAAGCUGCGGCAGCGACGCUGAUGCGUUGUUGGGUAGGGGAGCGUUCUGUAAGCCUGCGAAGGUGUGCUGUGAGGCAUGCUGGAGGUAUCAGAAGUGCGAAUGCUGACAUAAGUAACGAUAAAGCGGGUGAAAAGCCCGCUCGCCGGAAGACCAAGGGUUCCUGUCCAACGUUAAUCGGGGCAGGGUGAGUCGACCCCUAAGGCGAGGCCGAAAGGCGUAGUCGAUGGGAAACAGGUUAAUAUUCCUGUACUUGGUGUUACUGCGAAGGGGGACGGAGAAGGCUAUGUUGGCCGGGCGACGGUUGUCCCGGUUUAAGCGUGUAGGCUGGUUUUCCAGGCAAAUCCGGAAAAUCAAGGCUGAGGCGUGAUGACGAGGCACUACGGUGCUGAAGCAACAAAUGCCCUGCUUCCAGGAAAAGCCUCUAAGCAUCAGGUAACAUCAAAUCGUACCCCAAACCGACACAGGUGGUCAGGUAGAGAAUACCAAGGCGCUUGAGAGAACUCGGGUGAAGGAACUAGGCAAAAUGGUGCCGUAACUUCGGGAGAAGGCACGCUGAUAUGUAGGUGAAGUCCCUCGCGGAUGGAGCUGAAAUCAGUCGAAGAUACCAGCUGGCUGCAACUGUUUAUUAAAAACACAGCACUGUGCAAACACGAAAGUGGACGUAUACGGUGUGACGCCUGCCCGGUGCCGGAAGGUUAAUUGAUGGGGUUAGCGCAAGCGAAGCUCUUGAUCGAAGCCCCGGUAAACGGCGGCCGUAACUAUAACGGUCCUAAGGUAGCGAAAUUCCUUGUCGGGUAAGUUCCGACCUGCACGAAUGGCGUAAUGAUGGCCAGGCUGUCUCCACCCGAGACUCAGUGAAAUUGAACUCGCUGUGAAGAUGCAGUGUACCCGCGGCAAGACGGAAAGACCCCGUGAACCUUUACUAUAGCUUGACACUGAACAUUGAGCCUUGAUGUGUAGGAUAGGUGGGAGGCUUUGAAGUGUGGACGCCAGUCUGCAUGGAGCCGACCUUGAAAUACCACCCUUUAAUGUUUGAUGUUCUAACGUGGACCCGUAAUCCGGGUUGCGGACAGUGUCUGGUGGGUAGUUUGACUGGGGCGGUCUCCUCCUAAAGAGUAACGGAGGAGCACGAAGGUUGGCUAAUCCUGGUCGGACAUCAGGAGGUUAGUGCAAUGGCAUAAGCCAGCUUGACUGCGAGCGUGACGGCGCGAGCAGGUGCGAAAGCAGGUCAUAGUGAUCCGGUGGUUCUGAAUGGAAGGGCCAUCGCUCAACGGAUAAAAGGUACUCCGGGGAUAACAGGCUGAUACCGCCCAAGAGUUCAUAUCGACGGCGGUGUUUGGCACCUCGAUGUCGGCUCAUCACAUCCUGGGGCUGAAGUAGGUCCCAAGGGUAUGGCUGUUCGCCAUUUAAAGUGGUACGCGAGCUGGGUUUAGAACGUCGUGAGACAGUUCGGUCCCUAUCUGCCGUGGGCGCUGGAGAAUUGAGGGGGGCUGCUCCUAGUACGAGAGGACCGGAGUGGACGCAUCACUGGUGUUCGGGUUGUCAUGCCAAUGGCACUGCCCGGUAGCUAAAUGCGGAAGAGAUAAGUGCUGAAAGCAUCUAAGCACGAAACUUGCCCCGAGAUGAGUUCUCCCUGACUCCUUGAGAGUCCUGAAGGAACGUUGAAGACGACGACGUUGAUAGGCCGGGUGUGUAAGCGCAGCGAUGCGUUGAGCUAACCGGUACUAAUGAACCGUGAGGCUUAACCU
rnacentral:rRNA from 1 species